rnacentral:rRNA from 1 species
UGUCUAAGGCAUGCAAGUCGAACGAAUAUUGUCGCAAGACAGUAUGAGUGGCAAACGGGUGCGUAACACAUUGGUAACCUACCCUUGUCACGGCCACAACCCUGCGAAAGCAGGGCUAAUAGCCGAUGAUUUCCGCGAUCGUAUGAUUGCGGACUAAAGGUUUCGCAAGAAAUCGGACAAGGAGGGGCCUAUGGUCUAUCAGCUUGUUGGUGAGGUAAUGGCUCACCAAGGCGAUGACGGAUAGCGGGUGUGAGAGCAUGACCCGCCUCACUGGGACUGAGACACUGCCCAGACUCCUACGGGAGGCUGCAGUCAAGAAUCUUCCUCAAUGGCCGAAAGGCUGAAGGAGCGACGCCGCGUGCAGUGUUUACCCUUCGGGGCGUAAACUGC